rnacentral:lncRNA from 1 species
AGCCAACGCCCCAGUGACGGCACUCUAGGGGAUCUGGAAAGAGAGGAAGCUGGGUUGGAUAUCACAUUGCAUCUUUGUGGGAUUAAGAGAAAAACAGCAACAAAAAUCAGCCCCAUGAAGUUAAUGGACCUUUAAUAGGAUUAAAAGGAAGCAAGAGUGAACAGAACCCCUCUUCUGUGAUGCACCGAGCCACUACAAACAGAAGCACCAGGACUAGUGACCAUGGACUGAGACCUCUGAAUUCCUGAGCCAAACGGCUCCUCCUUAAGCAACUGCUGUCCCAACCGGCAUUUACAACUCUGAAGCUACCAGCAGCAGUUGAGCAGCACUGGCCUCAGCUAUGUGGGAAUUCUGUUCCCUCAGUCACAGGCUCUGAGAGAGAGCAGGAUGAGAAAUACCAUAUCAGAGGGAGACACUAUAGGUCCGAGAAGAGAUCUGGAACCAGAGAAAUCUCCAGAGACCUACAAGGAUGACACGAUCUGACAAUCCAGGCAAUGGUGGAGAGGAUAACCUAAAAGCCCUUCCCCUAAAAUGAGAUUGAUGACUUCUCUUUAUGCCAUCCUAG